rnacentral:rRNA from 1 species
GCGAGUGAAGCGGCAAAAGCUCAAAUUUGAAAUCUGGCGUCUUUGACGUCCGAAUUGUAAUUUGGAGAGACAUCUUCGGAGUAGACGCCGUCCUAAGUUCCUUGGAACAGGACGUCACAGAGGGUGAGAAUCCCGUGCCUGGAUGGCUGUUCUACUUCAUGUGAAGUGUCUUCGACGAGUCGAGUUGUUUGGGAAUGCAGCUCAAAAUGGGAGGUAAAUUUCUUCUAAAGCUAAAUAUUGGCGAGAGACCGAUAGCGCACAAGUAGAGUGAUCGAAAGAUGAAAAGCACUUUGAAAAGAGAGUUAAAAAGUACGUGAAAUUGUUGAAAGGGAAGCGCUUGAGACCAGACUCGAUCAGUGGUGAUCAGCGGUGCUUCUGUACCGUGCACUUGCCAUUGAUUGGGCCAGCAUCGGUUUAGACGGCGGGAUAAAGACCUAAGGAAUGUGGCUCCUCUCGGGGAGUGUUAUAGCCUUGGGUGCAAUGCCGCCAGU